rnacentral:rRNA from 1 species
UACAGAGGUCUCAAGCGUUGUUCGGAUUCAUUGGGCGUAAAGGGUGCGUAGGCGGCGCGGUAAGUCGGGUGUGAAAUCUUGGAGCUUAACUCCGAAACUGCAUUCGAUACUGCCGUGCUUGAGGACUGGAGAGGAGACUGGAAUUCAUGGUGUAGCAGUGAAAUGCGUAGAUAUCAGGAGGAACACCAAUUGCGAAGGCAGCUCGCUGGGACGUUACUGACGCUGAGACGCGAAAGCGUGGGGAGCAAACAGG